UGGGAACGUCCCGAAUUGCAGGUUUCAGUUCCAUACAGCCAAAGAUGGCUCAUCAGCUGAUAAAAUGCCCAAGUCGUUUUAGUGGACAGAGAAAAGUUUGAAAUUACUCUAGCAAUAUCUUCACGUUGCUAGUGAAUGCAGCUACCUAGUUUAUCCUACCUGGCUCAGAGAGGGAUGCUAUGUUAGCCAGCCGGCUAUGGCCAUCCAACACCGGAACUCUUCCAAGAUAAGACAGCUGAUGUGUUGUGCACUGAAGUCCACAAGCGAAGGGAAAAGGACAAUGACCCAAAACACACCUCCAGAUUGUUUAAGGGCUAUUUGACCAAGAAGGAGAGUGACUGAGUGACGCAUCAGAUGACCUGGCCUCCACAAUUACCCGGCCUCAACCCAAUUGAGAUGGUUUGGGAGAGAGAAGAGGGAAGGAAAAGCAGCCAAGUGCUCAGCUUAUGUGGGAACUCUUUCAAGACUGUUGGAAAUGCAUUCCAGGGCACUGAGUUCCAAAGAGGGUGGAGCCUAUGUUUGGGAUCUCCAGUGUCUCUCCACGUGAUGGCAGGGGUAUCACUGACCACUGUUUCCCCACAAAGGAGUAACACCCUCUUUUUUUAUUUAUUUUUUAUAUAAUAUAUAUUUUUUUUAACUGCCAUAUGAAAACAAACAGAGGGAGAGGAGCUACACAGACUACUGAAAGCCCAGGAUACUGCACAGAGGAGCAAGAAUCAAGUUGGAUAAACCAAGGAGAGGUACCUUGAACAAAAAAGAAAAUCAUUUAAAGAAAAACAUCAUGUCUUAUUCAACAUUGAAUGUUUUGUCAAGUUAUUGAAAUUCAAGUCAUUAACAUGGGCAUCAUAUUUGUCUUUCAUUUCAC